rnacentral:tRNA from 1 species
GCUCCCAUAGUUCAACGGAUAGAACGAGCCCGUCCUAAGGGCCAAAUGGUGGUUCAAUUCCGCCUGGGAGCA